rfam:Triticum aestivum genome assembly, contig: Triticum_aestivum_CS42_TGACv1_scaffold_569588_7AS
AAACUACUCCCUCCGUUUGGAAAUACUUGUCGAAGAAAUGGAUAAAAAUAGAUGUAUCUAAAACUUAAAUACGUCUAGAUACAUCCAUCCCUACGACAAGUAUUUCCGGAUGAAGGGAGUAUUUC